UACGAAGGGGGCUAGCGUUGUUCGGAAUUACUGGGCGUAAAGCGCGCGCAGGCGGUCUUCCAAGUCAGUGGUGAAAGCCCGGAGCUCAACUCCGGAACUGCCAUUGAAACUGUUAGACUUGAGGAUGAGAGAGGUGAGUGGAAUUCCCAGUGUAGAGGUGAAAUUCGUAGAUAUUGGGAAGAACACCGGUGGCGAAGGCGGCUCACUGGCUCAUUACUGACGCUCAGGCGCGACAGCGUGGGGAUCAAACAGG
rnacentral:rRNA from 1 species